rnacentral:rRNA from 1 species
UACGUAGGGGGGCAAGCGUUGUCCGGAAUCAUUGGGCGUAAAGAGCGUGUAGGCGGUUCGGUAAGUCCGCUGUGAAAGUCCAGGGCUCAACCCUGGAAAGCCGGUGGAAACUGUCGAGCUAGAGUCCGGAAGAGGCGAGUGGAAUUCCUGGUGUAGCGGUGAAAUGCGCAGAUAUCAGGAGGAACACCAAUGGCGAAGGCAGCUCGCUGGGACGGUACUGACGCUGAGACGCGAAAGCGUGGGGAGCGAACAGG